rnacentral:rRNA from 1 species
UACGUAGGGGGCGAGCGUUGUCCGGAGUUACUGGGCGUAAAGCGCACGCAGGCGGUCGUGUAAGUUUGGGGUUACAGCUCCCGGCUCAACUGGGAGAGCGCCUUGAAGACUGCAGGACUUGAGGGCCAGAGAGGGACACAGAAUUCCGGGUGUAGUGGUGAAAUGCGUAGAUAGCCGGAGGAAUACCAAAGGCGAAGGCAGUGUCCUGGCUGGUGACUGACGCUGAGGUGCGAAAGCUAGGGGAGCGAACGGG